rnacentral:sRNA from 1 species
AGAUAAGCAAGCUUAACAAGUGGUGAAUCAGACCAUCGCACAAACCAGAGAUGGCAAUGCGACUGCUGA